UUUACAGAAGCAGUUUUCUAAGCCCUGGUCCAGAGGGGGACACAGAAAUAUUAACAGAUACCUGGAGUAUGGGGAGAGUGAUGUUAUGGCAGAAGGUGAUACAGAAAACUGUGGAAGCAGAGAGGAGGGAGCCUUGUUUGGAAGCCGAGGGGCCUUGCUAUAGGUAGCCUCCCUGAGGAUGCAGGCAGAGUACAUUGUGGAGAUCAGCAGAGAGCUGAGGCCAGAAGACCUCGCCCAACUCAGCCCUGUUCCCAACUUUAUUUUCUGCCAGUGAGAGCUGAGGUCCUGGUCCCAGGCCCCCGUGUGAGUGGGCAUAUUCCCUUUCAGCAUGGAGUGCUAAGCUAUUGAAGCAGACCCUAAGUAAGGCACUGGAGCACUGUGAAGAUGGGAAAAAUCCCCACUGAUCGCCGUGAAACAGUCAGGAUGGAGAAAAUCAAAGCAAAGCAAAAGAAAAUUAGUGCUCUGCAGAGAGCCUGCAGGAGUUCUGACAAUUUGGCCGUUAGCUCGAACUGCCUGCCCAGAGAGGAAGCUGCGAGAAGGGCCUUCAUAAAAGGUGAGAUGCUGUUACCAUGGGAUCAUGGAGGUGACCU
rnacentral:lncRNA from 1 species